CCUGCUGAGAAGCAGUGCCUUUGCGGGGCUCUCCAGAGCUGCCCGGAACCAGGGAAAACAAUGCAAAACUGCAGUUAGAGUGUUACAGAUACUUCUAUUAAGACCUUUAAAUGUGUAUAGUUUUAUCCAUCCCGUAGCAUGGGCGACAGAACUCAGCAGACCCCGACCCGCAUGCGGGUGCCAGCGGCACGCGGGAGAGAAGCGGCGAACCUGGAAGUCCGGGGGGAGGCAGUGCCGGAGGGCGUCGGAGCUGCCCCGGACUGGGGAGAAAGAGUGAAAGCUGCAGCUACAUUACUAAAUUCAACCUUUGUGUCUGCAUUAGCUGUAGCUUAGUUAGAGAUGCAUACACUUGACUAUAAAACGAUUGUUCCUCAAUUCAGU